rnacentral:rRNA from 1 species
UGAGGAAUAUUGCACAAUGGGGGCAACCCUGAUGCAGCGACGCCGCGUGGGUGAUGACGGCCUUCGGGUUGUAAAGCCCUUUUGCCACUGACGAGAACGGACGGUAGGUGGCGAAUAAGCCUCGGCUAACUACGUGCCAGCAGCCGCGGUAAAACGUAGGAGGCGAGCGUUAUCCGGAGUUACUGGGCGUAAAGCGUGCGCAGGCGGUGCCAUAAGUCAGGUGUGAAAGGUUCCGGCUCAACCGGGAAAACGCGCUUGAGACUGUGGGACUAGAGUGGGAUAGAGGGACGUGGAAUUCCGGGUGGAGCGGUGAAAUGUGUAGAGAUCCGGAGGAACACCAGAGGCGCAAGCGGCGUCCUGGGUCCCAACUGACGCUGAGGCACGAAAGCUUGGGGAGCGAACGGG